rnacentral:sRNA from 1 species
CCUGCGGAAGGAUCAUUAUCGAAAAGAAAAGACUGUUGCUGGCCCCUAGGGGCAUGUGCACGUCGAGCCUUUUACCCACACCUGUGCACCUGUUGUAGAUUUCUAUCUACGUAUUUCACAAUCCACAUGUAUACAAGGAAUGAAUGUUAUAAAGUUAUACAACUUUCAGCAACGGAUCUCUUGGCUCUCGCAUCGAUGAAGAACGCAGCGAAUUGCGAUAAGUAAUGUGAAUUGCAGAUUUUCAGUGAAUCAUCGAAUCUUUGAACGCACCUUGCGCUCCUUGGUAUUCCAAGGAGCAUGCCUGUUUGAGUGUCAUUGAAUUCUCAAGUCAGUAUAUUUUGGCUUGGAGUUGGGGGUUGCUGGUUUCAGCUCUCCUGAAAUACAUACAUAUGUGGCCUUUCGAUGUGAUAAUGAUCAUCGUAGGCACUCUGCGAACUUGACCUCAAAUCAGGUAGGACUACCCGCUGAACUUAAGCAUAUCAAUAAGCGGAGGAAAAGAAACUAACAAGGAUUCCCCUAGUAACUGCGAGUGAAGCGGGAUGAGCUCAAAUUUUGAAUCUGGUAGUGUUUUGACUAUCCGAGUUGUAAUCUAGAGAAGCGUGUUCCGCGCUGG